AAUGGGGGAAACCCUGACGCAGCAACGCCGCGUGAAGGAUGAAGGUUUUCGGAUUGUAAACUUCUUUGACGAGGGACGAUAAUGACGGUACCUCGAAAACAAGCCACGGCUAACUACGUGCCAGCAGCCGCGGUAAUACGUAGGUGGCAAGCGUUGUCCGGAUUCACUGGGUGUAAAGGGCGAGUAGGCGGGACGGAAAGUCAGUAGUGAAAUACCGAGGCUUAACUUCGGGGCUGCUAUUGAAACUUCUGUUCCUGAGUGAUGGAGAGGCAGGCGGAAUUCCCGGUGUAGCGGUGAAAUGCGUAGAGAUCGGGAGGAACACCAGUGGCGAAGGCGGCCUGCUGGACAUUAACUGACGCUGAGUCGCGGAAGCGUGGGGAGCAAA
rnacentral:rRNA from 1 species